rnacentral:rRNA from 1 species
UACGUAGGGGGCGAGCGUUGUCCGGAGUUACUGGGCGUAAAGCGCACGCAGGCGGUCUGCUAAGUUUGGAGUGACAGUUGGUGGCUUAACUGCCAAAGUGCUUCGAAAACUGACAGACUUGAGGGCUUCAGAGGGACACGGAAUUCCGGGUGGAGUGGUGAAAUGCGUAGAGAUCCGGAAGAACACCAGUGGCGAAGGCGACUCACUGGACACAUAUUGACGCUGAGGUGCGAAAGCGUGGGGAGCAAACAGG